rnacentral:rRNA from 1 species
AGUGAACGCUGGCGGUAGGCCUAACACAUGCAAGUCGAACGGCAGCACAGUAAGAGCUUGCUCUUACGGGUGGCGAGUGGCGGACGGGUGAGGAAUACAUCGGAAUCUACUUUUUCGUGGGGGAUAACGUAGGGAAACUUACGCUAAUACCGCAUACGACCUACGGGUGAAAGCAGGGGAUCUUCGGACCUUGCGCGAUUGAAUGAGCCGAUGUCGGAGUAGCUAGUUGGCGGGGUAAAGGCCCACCCAGGCGCCGAGCCGUAGCUGGUCUGAGAGGACGAUCGGCCACACUGGAACUGAGACACGGUCCAGACGCCUACGGGAGGCAGCAGUGGGGAAUAUUGGGCAAUGGGCGCAAGCCUGAUCCAGCCAUACCGCGUGGGUGAAGAAGGCCUUCGGGUUGUAAAGCCCUUUUGUUGGGAAAGAAAAGCAGCAGGUUAAGACCCCGCUGUUCUGACGGCACCCAAAGAAUAAGCACCGGCUAACUUCGUG